GACGAACGCUGGCGGCGUGCUUAACACAUGCAAGUCGAGCGGUAAGGCCCUUCGGGGUACACGAGCGGCGAACGGGUGAGUAACACGUGGGUGACCUGCCUCUAGCUCUGGGAUAAGCCUGGGAAACUGGGUCUAAUACCGGAUAUGACUCCAUGACGCAUGUUGUGGGGUGGAAAGCCUUGUGCGGCUGGGGAUGGGCCCGCGGCCUAUCAGCUUGUUGGUGGGGUGAUGGCCUACCAAGGCGA
rnacentral:rRNA from 1 species